GACGAACGCUGGCGGCGUGCUUAACACAUGCAAGUCGAACGGAAAGGCCCUGCUUUUGUGGGGUGCUCGAGUGGCGAACGGGUGAGUAACACGUGAGUAACCUGCCCUUGACUUUGGGAUAACUUCAGGAAACUGGGGCUAAUACCGGAUAGGAGCUCCUGCUGCAUGGUGGGGGUUGGAAAGUUUCGGCGGUUGGGGAUGGACUCGCGGCUUAUCAGCUUGUUGGUGGGGUAGUGGCUUACCAAGGCUUUGACGGGUAGCCGGCCUGAGAGGGUGACCGGCCACAUUGGGACUGAGAUGCGGCCCAGACUCCUACGGGAGGCAGCAGUGGGGAAUAUUGCACAAUGGGCGGAAGCCUGAUGCAACAACGCCGCGUGCGGGAUGACGGCCUUCGGGUUGUAAACCGCUUUCGCCUGUGACGAAGCGUGAGUGACGGUAAUGGGUAAAGAAGCACCGGCUAACUACGUG
rnacentral:rRNA from 1 species